rnacentral:rRNA from 1 species
AACGAACGCUGGCGGCGUGUUUAAGACAUGCAAGUCGCACGGGAUAAGACAUGUAGUAAUACUUGUUUUAUUUAGUGGCGCACGGGUGAGUAACACGUGAAUUACAUGCCCUAUAGUGGGGAAUAGCCCAGGGAAACUUGGAUUACUACCCCAUGGUAUCGAAAGAUUAAAGGUGGCCGCAAGGCUGUCGCUAUAGGAUUGGUUCGCGCCCUAUCAGCUUGUUGGUGAGGUAGCGGCUCACCAAGGCAAUGACGGGUACCUGGUCUGAGAGGACGAUCAGGCACACUGGAACUGAGACACGGUCCAGACACCUACGGGUGGCAGCAGGCGAGAAUAAUUCACAAUGGGGGCAACCCUGAUGGUGCAACGCCGCGUGGAGGAUGACGGUCUUCGGAUUGUAAACUCCUGUCAUCUGGGAGAAAGACCUGACGGUAAAUAGCCGGCAGGGUUGAUAGUACCAGAAGAGGAAGGGACGGCUAACUUCGUGCCAGCCGCCGCGGUAA